CGCACCUUGCACCUCUUGGUAUUCCGAGAGGUACAUCUGUUUGAGUGUCAUGAAUCCCUCAACUGCUACAAUUUCUUCCGAGUUGUAGAUGUGUUGGAUGCUGAGCGCUGCUGUAGCCAUGCUACAGCUCGCUUCAAAUGUAUAAGCGAUCUUUGUACUCUCUGGAUUGACUUGACGUGAUAAAACUCUUCGUCGAGGAUGCUUCUAUAGCAGCCGGAUUGUAUACAGUCGCUCCCAGACCUGCACUUGUGCAACACCCUUAUUUUAGACCUCAAAUCAGAUGGGACUACCCGCUGAACUUAA
rnacentral:misc_RNA from 1 species